rnacentral:lncRNA from 1 species
CACAUUGGAAGAGGAAAUACAUUGGCAGUAUUAAGCUAAUAAAAAUGGAAACCUUUUUCAGGAAGUGUUGGAGGUUCUCGGAUGAUAAAUGCAGCCUGUUUUGGAAAUCCAUCUUUGUACCAAGAUGAUGCUUGCUGCAUUGGGAGUGCAAAUAGUGUGAUUUUCAAGAAGGUUAUGCCUUGUAGAACAUGUUUUUAGAUGGCGAGUUAGCAAUAAUGCCUCUUUUUUGCGAGCAGACACCUGGCUAUAUGUAUUGCGUCAUUUGAGUAGCAUAGCAACCUUCCUUUUUUCUGCAUAUGAAAAAUCGUUCAUUUUUUUUUAAUCCACC